CCUACAGGGGGCAGCAGUGAGGAAUAUUGGUCAAUGGGCGCGAGCCUGAACCAGCCAAGUAGCGUGAAGGAUGACUGCCCUACGGGUUGUAAACUUCUUUUAUAAAGGAAUAAAGUGAGGCACGUGUGCCUUUUUGUAUGUACUUUAUGAAUAAGGAACGGCUAACGCCGUGCCAGCAGCCGCGGUAAUACGGAGGAUCCGAGCGUUAUCCGGAUUGAUUGGGUUGAAAGGGAGCGUAGAUGGGUUGUUAAGUCAGUUGUGAAAGUUUGCGGCUCAACCGUCAAAUUGCCAUUGAUACUGGCAGCCUUGAGUACAGUUGAGGUAGGCUGCCUUCGUGGUGUAGCGG
rnacentral:rRNA from 1 species